UGUGUACUCCCUCCGUUCCAAAAUACUUGACUUCCAUUUGUUCAAAAAUGGAUGUACCUAUAUACUAAAACAUGUCUAGAUACAUAUAUAUUUUGACAAAUAGAAGGCAUGUAUUGUGCAACGGAGGGAGUAGAAU
rnacentral:pre_miRNA from 1 species